GAACACCCAUUCGCGACCCGUCACGCUCGGGCUGUCGAUGGACACCUGUCUGCAUAGUUUGUUCAUCUUCUUCUCCCUGCAAAGAGACACCAAUGAAUAGGGUGAAGGAAUUAAAAUUUUAUGUAUGAACAUCUGCAGUCUGGAUACGAAGUAUCGGGAGUAAAAACAGAGUAAAUUAUUUUUGGGAUGUUUUUCAGUGUCAAGCUUACAUAUACACAUAUAUAACGUAAGCUAUGUCAACCUCGAUACGUUCUUUGAAUUAUUUUCGAUUCAAUCGAAAACGAAAGAAUUCUCGCUUAUAUAUGCGAUUCCUCGUUUCAAGUUUAUACUAAGAUCUUUUUUAAAAUGUCGAAGAUCUCGUCCAUUUCACAAAAACAAAGUUGAAGCACAACGAUUUGAAAAGCGAAAUUGUAUCUGC